CCUUCAUGAAGUUCAGGGGAUCACCCCAGACCCCUCAGGAAGGACAGGAGAUCACCCCAGACCCCUCAAGGAGGGAAGGGGAUCACCCCAGACCCCUCAGGAAGGUCAGGGGAUCACCCCAGACCCCUCGGGGCUGCAGCUGCCCGGUCUGUGUGAGACCCUGCUCCUGCAGAGAGCCCCCAGCCCUCUCACGGCCACCAGCUCCAGCCCCCUCCCCGUGCAGCUCAUCAGGCUCUGGAUGGGAGGACAGCAGACAGAGCAGGUGAUAAUUUCAUUUCCCUUGCAAAUGAGCCCACGUUCCUUCUCCAUCCCCAGCACCUCAUCAGCAGAGCCAUCAUCCCCACCCCACUCACUUCAACUCAUCCCCCAGCCCUGACAAAGCCAUUCCCACCUCACAGGAGCCCUUCUCACCACCUCACUGCAGACAGGUUUGCUUACCAAUGAAGUUAUUAUGGUUAACUAUUAAUAUUAACGAGAACAACUUGCUUUUCCAGCAGACAGCGUUCCCUAAACCAUCAGCCAGCAGCGGCUCCUGGAGCCGUGUCCAUGGACAGGUGGCUCAGGAUGGGAUCAUGCAGAGGGUGCCUUGGACAGAAAAGGGGCUUUGUGGAUGUGGGGAAGGGGCUGAGGUGUGAGAUGGGGGUGCAAGAGACUGGAAAACCCCAACAGGUCCCAUCCCAGCCCAAGGAUGCCCCAAAUCCCCUCACAAGGAAUAUUUUAUCCCAUUUCCUCAUCCCUCGCCUUCCUCCAUCGAGGCUUUCCCAACCCCACUGCCACCCCACGCAGGAUGGGGGUCCAAAAUCAGCCAGCCCAAAUCCACAAGCUCUGCUGAAGCUCCAGCUGCUUUCAGCAGCUGUAUUUGCUGUUUUUGCUGUAUUCAGCAUCCCUGGGAGCUCCGUGCAUGGCCCAGCAGGGUGAAGAGCAGCCUGGAGGCUGGGGGGGAUCACUUUGGGCACCUCUGCCCUGCCUGAGGUGCCCGCAGCUUUCCCAGGAGCCAGCCCCAUCCCACCCUUCACUGUCCAGCCCACACUGGCUCUUCCUGGGGGUACCAGGGAAUGCUCCUGGCAGUCCCCAACGUGUCCAUCCAACCCAGCCACUCCCUCCCCAGCUCCACAUCCACAACAGCCACCAGCAUCACCCCUGCCCCCAGCAGUGCAGCUCUCUCUGCCCAAGAACUCCCACAGAAGGGCUGGGUGUGGAUUCCCCUUUAAUAUACCACUUGUCAGGGGGAGGGUUAAAAAAAAUCAAUAAAUAAAACAACUUAGGAUGCUUGAAGAAGAUG
rnacentral:lncRNA from 1 species